AGCUCUAGCGAUGGAUCGGUUGAUUCGCGUAUCGAUGAAAAACGCAGCAAAAUGCGAUAUUUACCAUGAAUUGCAGACGCUUUGAGUGGUGAAAUUUUGAACGCACAGCACCGUUAGGAUUUCUCUUAACGGUACGCCUGGUUCAGGGUUA